rnacentral:rRNA from 1 species
GACGAACGCUGGCGGCGUGCUUAACACAUGCAAGUCGAACGGAAAGGCCCUGCUUUUGUGGGGUGCUCGAGUGGCGAACGGGUGAGUAACACGUGAGUAACCUGCCCUUGACUUUGGGAUAACUUCAGGAAACUGGGGCUAAUACCGGAUAGGAGCUCCUGCUGCAUGGUGGGGGUUGGAAAGUUUCGGCGGUUGGGGAUGGACUCGCGGCUUAUCAGCUUGUUGGUGGGGUAGUGGCUUACCAAGGCUUUGACGGGUAGCCGGCCUGAGAGGGUGACCGGCCACAGUGGGCCUGGGGUAGGGCCAAGACUCCUACGUGAGGCAGCGGUGGAGAAUAGUGCACAAUGGGCGGAGGCCUUAUGCAGCAACGCCGCGUGCGAGAUGACGGCCUUCAGGUUGGAAACCGCUUUCGCCUGUGACGGAGCGUGAGUGACGGUAAUAGGUAAAGAAGCACCGCCUAACUACGU